AUUGAACGCUGGCGGCAUGCCUUACACAUGCAAGUCGAACGGCAGCGGGGACUUCGGUCCGCCGGCGAGUGGCGAACGGGUGAGUAAUGUAUCGGAACGUACCAUUCAGUGGGGGAUAACUAUCCGAAAGGAUAGCUAAUACCGCAUAUUCUGUGAGCAGGAAAGCAGGGGAUCGCAAGACCUUGCGCUGAUUGAGCGGCCGAUAUCAGAUUAGCUAGUUGGUGAGGUAAAGGCUCACCAAGGCGACGAUCUGUAGCGGGUCUGAGAGGAUGAUCCGCCACACUGGAACUGAGACACGGUCCAGACUCCUACGGGAGGCAGCAGUGGGGAAUUUUGGACAAUGGGGGCAACCCUGAUCCAGCCAUGCCGCGUGAGUGAAGAAGGCCUUCGGGUUGUAAAGCUCUUUCGGCCGGGAAAAAAUCGCAUGGGUUAAUACCCUGUGUGGAUGAUGGUACCGGAAUAAGAAGCACCGGCUAACUACGUGCCAGCCGCCGCAGUAA
rnacentral:rRNA from 1 species